AAUGCUUGCUGUCUUCAAGUUCAUCUGCACGGGUGAAGGGCGGCAAUCAUGUUUUUGGGGAGUGUCGCUGGCGGCACGACUACUCACGUCAUCCUCUUCUUCCUGGUGGCUGUGCACGUCAUUGGGUUGACCAGCACUGCUACAUACCUACACAGCAUCGAGCGGGACGAUUACACCAACAAGCGCUGUCAACUAGCGCAACCGGCUCUGGUGCCGCUAGCUAGAUCAGCUGGGCCGCAUACUCAAGAGAAGGAGUGUGCUUGGGAACAUGCUGAUACUAUGUUCAAGGCAGCAAUUUUGAGCGUGCUAGGAGACUCCAUAGUAGAUGUCUAUAUGUCGCUACAGAGCGGUAAAGCUAUGUGAGAAGCACUUGAGGCCAAGUAUGAGGUUUCUGAUGCCGGUACUGAGUUGUAUAUCAUGGAGCAGUUUCACAACUGCUGGAUGGUUGAUGACCAUCCUAUAGUGGAACAAGCUCAUGAGAUAUAAGCACCGGCAAAAGAACUCAAAAUAUUUGGAUGUGUGUUACCUGACAAGUUUAUGGUAGGUUGCAUAAUUGCUAAACUACCACGUACUUGGACUAAUUUUGCUACUUCUCUGAAACAUAAGAGACAAGAGUUUGGCAUUACCGAGCUUAUUGAAUCUUUGGAUAUUGAAAAGAAGGCGAGAGUAAAAUACGUCUGUGGCAAGAAGAUCGGUGAGGGGAGUUUUAGUGCACAUCUGGUGCAAAAGAAUCAUCUGAAGCCUUAGAAAAAGAAAUUUCAGCAAGAACUUAAAUAAAAAUCUACCAUUGCUUUUAAGAAGAACAAGGAAAAAGAAAAUUGUUUUACCUGUGGUAAUACUAGACACUAUGCUAGAGAGUGUCCAAAGGCUAAGUGGAAGCCUCCAGCCAAGAAAUCAUCAAACACCAUUGUGACUGAUGCUGGAACAUCGGGGGAGGCCGACUUUCCUCCUUAUUGAUGGGGAACAGGGCGCAUGUGGCUGUACGUGGUGUUGGUACGGUCGAUCUGAAGUUUACUUCGGGAAAGACCGUACAACUCAAGAAUGUGCAUCAUGUCCCAUCAAUAAAGAAGAAUUUUAUUAGUGGUUCUUUGCUUUGUCGAGAUAGUUAUAAACUUGUGUUUAAAUCUAAUAAGUUAGUGCUUUCUAAGUAUGGUACUUUUGUUGGAAAAGGCUAUGAGAGCGGAGGCUUGUCUUUGACAAAUACUUGUUUUAAUUGUGAGAAUCAUAUGAGCCAUGAUAUUGAUACUAAUAUUUGGCAUU